rnacentral:lncRNA from 1 species
CUGCACCCCAGUGUGCUGACGCGCGAAGCCAGGAGGAAAAAUUAUUUCCCCUGGAGCCCGCGUUCAUUCAGCCUGCUCUCGCCUCUGCGCAAUUGCUUUCUCUGUUCACUGGACGGCGGCUGAAGAGCCCCAAGCGUGAACUCGGCCUGGGCAGUGGUGGCUCGGAAACCCUUGGCCUUUUGCAUGAAGGGGGUAGGGUGGGGGCAGGGCGCGGACAAAACCAAACAAACCCGGGAGCUCCGGGCCCAAGCCGACUUUUGCACCUCCCGGAGGAGCACGCCCUCCGGCCCCGGGCCCCGGCUCGUCGGUAGCCUCCCGGGACCACGGGGACGGCUCCACCCCAGGGCAGCCGCGUCCAGCUGGCCCUGGGCCUUGACGGGUGCUGCGGGGAAAAGGUUCUUGAGAGAUGCUGCGGCCCGGUAGAGAGAUUUAGCUCCACUUUUCACAGCUGGAGGCUUUUGUUAUUAGAGAUGCGGCUCCAUUUUUAAAACUAAUUGUUGCCACAGAUAGGCGACUACAUCUCUGGAAGCAGCAGCUCCAUGCUGGAUGUGGUGGAAGAAUCGAGAGGUCUACAGUAAAGGAGGCUGCCAUUGCUCAAGGACGCUGCUUGAUCCUACCAAAAUUCCCAUGGAUCUGUGAGGAGCUCCUCAAAUCAGCAGGACAUGCCCCUGUCCUGCCCAAAAUCUGUUUGGAGAUCAAAUGGGCCUUACUCAAUAAUAAAAUGGAAGCCUG